ensembl:lncRNA
GUCGAGCGCAGUGUGGGAGAUCCAUGAGAAUAUGCCCAGAAGAGAACAAAGAAGAUAGGAGUAUCCACCUCUGCCACACCACACUGCAAACACACACAUGCUCAGAGGCAUACGUGCAUGUGACACGUGAACACACAUCCCAUGGGAUCAGUCCACACAGAGGUGGGGACGUGCCGAACCUGAGGAUCAAAACAGCAACAGUGUGAAAAUGAGGCCCCAGAGGCCUCCUGAGGGUUCCGAUCAAAGAUCGAUGCUUCUUUAUUCAUUAAGGAUCACCGUCGUGGAGGCAGGAGCGGCGUGCUCCCUCCUGUGCAGCAGAGACAGUCAAUGGUUUUAUGGUUUUAUUCAGCUCAUGUGCUAAGCUGCUCUGGUUGGUAAGCAAAAAUGUUAAGUGCCUGCCUGGGUUGCUCCACAGACUGCCUGAGAUCUCCUUGCGGGUGUGCUCAAGACAGCUCUUCCUCGCUGUCCACCUGAACUUCAAAAAGGCACCGGUGGGCCCCCGGGAGACUGCAGGCUCUAAUGAGGCCCCUGCCGGCGGCUCAGGAAGCCACGGAAAUAAUGAGGGAGCCUGCUGCUCUUCCCUGCAAGUUCCCUAGAGCCCCAAUUACAGAAUUUAAAACCCCAAAUUCCAAGGCUGUGUUGACAUUAAAAGAAAACCUCAUUUUUUCCCUGCCCAGACAAUGUGAGACAAUAAAACCCCAAUCUGAAAAAGAAGCAAGGCCAAGGAACUUUUUUCUGGGAAGAAGUGGAAGAACAGUUCUCCAUCUCCUCAGAGAAAACCAUAAAAGAAGAUAAAUUAGUUAAAAGAAGACCUACAGGAAGAGGGUGGUGUUCUGUGUUGGGAGGCCUGACCGCCGUCAGGAGCAGAAAGGAACCCACCCAUGGGCUGGCUGUGGCCUCAGUGAGUUCUGAGCUGCUAGGGCCCUGGCUUCAAUCUUACAAGUUCAAAAUUUAAUCUGAUCUUCAUUCCCAAACUGAUCCAGCUAGAGUAUAUUUUUCUCCCUCUCUCAAACAUCACAAAAGUAUAUUUAAAAUCACGACAAUCUUUAAAUUUAUAGAAUGAGA